UACGUAGGGGGCAAGCGUUGUCCGGAAUCAUUGGGCGUAAAGAGCGUGUAGGCGGCUCGGUCAGUCCGCCGUGAAAGUCCAGGGCUCAACCCUGGAAUGCCGGUGGAUACUGCCGGGCUGGAGUCCGGAAGAGGCGAGUGGAAUUCCUGGUGUAGCGGUGAAAUGCGCAGAUAUCAGGAGGAACACCAAUGGCGAAGGCAGCUCGCUGGGACGGUACUGACGCUGAGACGCGAAAGCGUGGGGAGCAAACAGG
rnacentral:rRNA from 1 species